rnacentral:rRNA from 1 species
UAUCGGACCGGGGGUGUGGUACGCGUGAGAAUCUGGCUUCAGGUCUGGGACAACCACUGGAAACGGUGGCUAAUACCGGAUGUGCGAGAGGUGAAAGAUUAAUUGCCUGAAGAUGAGCUCCCGUCUGAUUAGCUAGUUGGAAGUGUAAUGGACUCCCAAGGCGACCAUCAGUAGCUGGUCUGAGAGGACGAUCAGCCACACUGGGACUGAGACACGGCCCAGACUCCUACGGGAGGCAGCAGUGGGGAAUUUUCCGCAAUGGGCGAAAGCCUGACGGAGCAAUACCGCGUGAGGGAGGAAGGCUCUUGGGUCGUAAACCUCUUUUCUCAGGGAAGAACACAAUGACGGUACCUGAGGAAUAAGCAUCGGCUAACUCCGUGCCAGCAGCCGCGGUAAUACGGAGGAUGCAAGCGUUAUCCGGAAUGAUUGGGCGUAAAGCGUCCGCAGGUGGCAAUGUAAGUCUGCUGUUAAAGAGUCUAGCUCAACUAGAUAAGAGCAGUGGAAACUACAUAGCUAGAGUACGUUCGGGGCAGAGGGAAUUCCUGGUGUAGCGGUGAAAUGCGUAGAGAUCAGGAGAACACCGGUGGGCGAAGGCGCUCUGCUAGGCCGUAACUGACACUGAUGGGACGAAAGCUACGGGAGCGAAUGGGAUUACGAUACUAAGGAAGUCAACCGCGUUAAUCACCCCGU